GAGGCAAAAUGGCAGACUUUAACUGUUGACAUGACCUCCUUGGAACAUUCAGACUGGUAAGAGAAAAGAAUUAAACAUCAAAUCUUCCCUCAGGGACUCCAGAUAAGAGCCCAGGCCAAAGGACACCUUGAUUUUGACCUUGUCAGACCUGGAGUUGAAAAACCAGCUGCACCCUUCUAGAAUUCUUACUUACAAAACUGGAGAUGUUACAAGACAAGAUGAUUUCACUGGAAGCUGAGUUUUGCCAGCUUUGGGGAAAUGCUGAUGCAGAACAUCAUUUAUUUAAGGCUGAUACUCAUGGAUAGAAGAGUCAAAGUGCGAAUAUAUGCACCCUUCUAUACGGAUUCUGCAGAAAGAUAUGCUUGGGUCAUGACUCAGGUGAAUUUCCUAUGAAACUUUGUCUUUGGUAAAGCAUCCCAUUCUUGGCUGUUCCAUAUAUAUAUAUAUGGUAAGUUUGGGAGUGGCCUUGCUAGUAAAGAAUAAAUUAUUUACUUGGUUCUAGCUAUUUACAAAGUUGCUGGUGACUAAUUGCUGGAAAGAAGCUGGGACGUUCUGUGGCCCCUCCAUUUUAUAUCCCCUCCCUUUGGUUCUCUAGGAAAUUGAGUUCAGGAAAGCUACCAGGAAUAAAACUCUUACUUUUUAUGCAUGUGUAUUUUUUUUCCAGACAAUUUGGAGAGAAUUCCCUGAAACAUUCACUGUACAACUCUACUUUCUUGAAUACUUACUAUAAUUAAAGUUCAUUUCUGAUUUACAUAAA
ensembl:lncRNA LINC02263 long intergenic non-protein coding RNA 2263